CACAUCCAUUAACAACUAAACAGCUGGCCACAUAACUGAGUACACUUAAUUAUGAACAUGACCAUUGCGCCCAUAGUGACAAUAAAUCUAUCGUAAUCUACAAACUCUACACGGACUUCUUUAAGUUACAUCAAAGUUUCAUGUCUAUAGAGUUAUCCCAUGAGAAGAUACAUUAAAACAUUUGAAAAAAUGGCAAGGGUUUUGUGAGAUACUGUAUAUGUACCAAUUUAGGUUAGGUGAACUCCUCACUGUUUCACAUAAUGAGUAAUGUGUUAAUUUUGUUUUGAAAGAUAAUUCCUACAAAUACUGAGUGAUGUAGUGGAUGGCUGGAAAGAAGAGAGGCAGCUUGAUGGACGAAGCGGCAGCUUCUGGUGCUACCGGCCUCACCAUCUCUCUCCUAAGCGCCCUCACUUCACUCCCCAGCUAACCAAGACCCUCACGUCACCAUGCACGUCCCACGCUGCACCUGGAGGAAGUUGGUGCGCGACUGCCUUCUGGAGGCGGUUAUGAUCGUAAGAACUAGGAGGCCAGAAACAAUUCCAUGACUCCCCUGCCUCCUCCAACCAGCUGCUUGGCACUAUGGUAGUGCUCCUAUCUUUGAAUUCGACGACCUUCCACACCUGUGCCAUCUGUCAAUGAGGUGAAUGAAAGAAAAUAAAAAAUCGCUGUGUUUUGAGUGUGAAAAAUAAGCCUUAGAAAUAUAUUUGGCCUAUAUAUCAGUCAUUGUUGUUAUAUAUAACAUAGUGUGUAUGUUGCAAGAUCAACAGUGAUCACAGUUGAUCACAGUCUCAGAAAUAUUUGGCCUGUUAAGCCCUUUGAGACUGUAAUGGUGAUUAAGGGCUAUACAAAUAAAAUUUAAUUGAAAAUUGAAUCACUAUCAUAAGUGGUGAGAGAACUGCAUACACCAGCUUAACUUGGGUGAAGACGUACUCUGAAACCUGUCGUCUCUAACUACUAUCUAAGCCUAACUAUCUACAACCUAACUAUCUUCAAAGGCUUGCCGGGCUCGAGGCAAAUGCCCCCUCCCCAGAAUUACCUUCUCAAAAACCAAAAAAAUAGAAAGAAAAAAAAAAGCACUUCGCAGGAAGAGUAUACAAUGCUACUCAGCUGAAGCACUCUAACUACUCAGAUCAUUCACAGCUGAU
rnacentral:lncRNA from 1 species